UCACCGCCAUCGAAGGUUUUUCCGCUCUCUGUCGUCACCUCCUAACUGUUGAAGGCUCUACCACCAUUUCACUCUAAGGAAAAGCGGAUAUGCAUAUGUGUUCAUUAAGAAUCUUGAUGUAUCAGUAGAUAACAAGACAUUGUAUGACACUUUUGCUGCCUUUGAAACUGUGCUAUCUAGUAAGGUAGCGGUUGAUGAGAAUGGUCAAUCAAAAGGGUAUGGAUUUGUGCACUUUGACAAUGACGAGUCUGCUCAGAAUGCUAUCAAAAAAUUUAACGGCAUGUUAAUAAAUGAUAAUAAAUGUUGCAGUAGCUCGGCGAAAGGAAGAAAGGAAGUCUAAUUUACAGGCCCAGUUUUCUGAUAUGCAAAUUGCACCUUUCUC
rnacentral:sRNA from 1 species